rnacentral:rRNA from 1 species
UGAGCAAUCUGCCCUUCUCAUCGGAAUAAGCGUUGGAAACGACGUCUAAUGCCGAAUACGACCUCCUUUCGCAUGAUCGGAGGUGGAAAGCUCCGGCGGAGAAGGAUGAGCCCGCGGCGGAUUAGCUUGUUGGUGGGGUAAUGGCCUACCAAGGCGACGAUCCGUAGCUGGUCUGAGAGGACGAUCAGCCACACGUGGGACUGAGACACGCCCAGACUCCCGUAGGGACGACG